AAAAAAGAAACAUUAUGCAAUCCUUUAUUCGCUAUGGAAGUUAUACGGGAAUCAUUGUAACUUUCUUGUGUUUAUUAAUUUUAGGAAGUUAAGUGUUUGUCAAAACGGAGAACCAGAGAACAAAUCACUGUCAUUUAUGUUAGAAUCGAAAGAAGAUUGGAAGAACUUUCCAAGCUUUUAUGCAAAAUUCAGGCUUCGGGUAUUGGAUCGAGUCCAUGCUAAACAUACUAUUGAAAAAGAAGUUCAACACUGGUUCUGUUCCUCAAACUGCAAAAUUGUUUUCCCAGACUUUAUGCCGUGGAAAACUCUCCGUGACUCGUCGAAGGGGUUCAUUAAGAAUGAUGUAUUAACUGUUGAAGUAGAAAUAUGCUCGCUAUCUGUGGUUGAUGCUCCUAGAAUAUUAAAAAAACCAUAGUUUUAUGAUUAAGAUAGAUGGUUGCAGAUCUUUGAAUAGUAUUUGGGGCCCUAUGUGUAUAUGCUGUGCUAGAAUUGCAGAGUGGUGUAUCCGGAACAUAUAAAAAUUCGUGUGAACUUUAUCAGAUAAUUUUCAUGUUUGAA